UGGCGGCAGGCCUAACACAUGCAAGUCGAGCGGUAACAGAAAGAAAGCUUGCUUUCUUUGCUGACGAGCGGCGGACGGGUGAGUAAUGCCUGGGAAUAUGCCUUAGUGUGGGGGAUACCUAUUGGAAACGAUAGCUAAUACCGCAUAAUGUCUUCGGACCAAGGAGGGGGACCUUCGGGCCUCUCGCGCUAAGAUUAGCCCAGGUGGGAUUAGCUAGUUGGUGAGGUAAAGGCUCACCAAGGCAACGAUCCCUAGCUGGUCUGAGAGGAUGAUCAGCCACACUGGAACUGAGACACGGUCCAGACUCCUACGGGAGGCAGCAGUGGGGAAUAUUGCACAAUGGGGGAAACCCUGAUGCAGCCAUGCCGCGUGUAUGAAGAAGGCCUUCGGGUUGUAAAGUACUUUCAGUCGUGAGGAAGGCAUUGUAGUUAAUAGCUGCAGUGCUUGACGUUAGCGACAGAAGAAGCACCGGCUAACUCCGUG
rnacentral:rRNA from 1 species